CCUCUGCAGCACACCAUUCCAUUCCCCGAUUCUCCUCUCUCUUUCUGCAGCUGCAAUCCGAGAGGCAUUUGUUCCCUCCAGGGAGGGGCCCCAGGACCUGGAGCCAGCAUCCUUCCCUGGCCAGCUGCCUUUGCACACUGCAGGUAGUCGGAAUUUUCUGAGUUCCAGGGAGAAAGAAGCCUGUCUGAAGAGCCCAGACAGUAUGUCUCCUCAUCACCUGGCACAUACCUAGAGGGA
rnacentral:lncRNA from 1 species